GACGAACGCUGGCGGCGUGCCUAAUGCAUGCAAGUUGAGCGCUGAAGGUUGGUACUUGUACCGACUGGAUGAGCAGCGAACGGGUGAGUAACGCGUGGGGAAUCUGCCUUUGAGCGGGGGACAACAUUUGGAAACGAAUGCUAAUACCGCAUAAAAACUUUAAACACAAGUUUUAAGUUUGAAAGAUGCAAUUGCAUCACUCAAAGAUGAUCCCGCGUUGUAUUAGCUAGUUGGUGAGGUAAAGGCUCACCAAGGCGAUGAUACAUAGCCGACCUGAGAGGGUGAUCGGCCACAUUGGGACUGGGACACGGCCCAAACUCCUACGGGAAGCAGCAGGAGGGAAACGUCGGGAAUAGACGAAAGUCUGACCGAGCAAAGCCGCGGGAGGGAAGAAGGUUUUCGGAUCGUAAAAAUCUGUUGGUAGAGAAGAACGUUGGUGAGAGUGGAAAGCGCAUCAAGUGACGGUAACUACCCAGAAAGGGACGGCUAACUACGUG
rnacentral:rRNA from 1 species